rnacentral:rRNA from 1 species
AACCUCCGCAAUGUGAGAAAUCGCGACGGGGGGAUCCCAAGUGCCAUUCUUAACGGGAUGGCUUUUCAUUAGUGUAAAGAGCUUUUGGAAUAAGGGCUGGGCAAGACCGGUGCCAGCCGCCGCGGUAACACCGGCAGCUCUAGUGGUAGCAGUUUUUAUUGGGCCUAAAGCGUCCGUAGCCGGUUUAAUAAGUCUCUGGUGAAAUCCUGUAGCUUAACUGUGGGAAUUGCUGGAGAUACUAUUAGACUUGAGACCGGGAGAGGUUAGAGGUACUCCCAGGGUAGAGGUGAAAUUCUGUAAUCCUGGGAGGACCGCCUGUUGCGAAGGCGUCUAACUGGAACGGUUCUGACGGUGAGGGACGAAAGUUAGGGGCGCGAACCGGAUUAGAUACCCGGGUAGUCCUAACCGUAAACGAUGCGGACUUGGUGUUGGGUGGCUUGAGCUGCUCCAGUGCCGAAGGGAAGCUGUUAAGUCCGCCGCCUGGGAAGUACGGUCGCAAGACUGAAACUUAAAGGAAUU